CUUACAGGGAGAACUUGUAUCUGUUAGGAUUGAGUAUGCAGAUGCGCUGCUGGAAUGUAGUGCUCCUGAUGUGCGUUCCCAAAUACUGGCUUCUGAAGUCAACAGUUUGGAAGACUAGUUGGCAAUUGAAAAAGAGGAACUGGUCCAAGCAUCAUCAAUUCACUACCUCAAUGUGCUCUGAAAUAACGGUUAGAGCUACCAAUAGCCCCGAAUAUGGCGAUAGACAAUGUGUCACCCUCAAAUAAGCUGGAUUCUCACAUUGUUCAAGAGUACUACCAAUUGCAGAUGAGGGCGAUGAGGUGUUAAGAAAGGUUUCUGGGAUGGAUCAUGAAGAUGUUACAGGAUGGCUGUCGAUAAGGAUAAGCAAAAUUCUCUAAUGCACCACAUUAUCGCCUCGCCCUUGCUAUCUUGUACAUCCUGACACAGCCAUGGACCACUACUGGUAGCA